UAUAAAAAGAAAGUGCCAAAUAAAACUACUCAUGAAGAGGGUGGUUGUAAUGUAGAAAGUCAAGUACCACCUGACAAUUCUCAUGUGGAUUGCAAUGCCUUCACUAGCUUUAGAGAUUUGCUUACGGGUCCUAGCGAAAUUGAUGAUAUGCCUAUUCAAGAUCUUCUUUAGGGGUUACAGCAUCAUUUAGUAGCUCCUGUCAUGUGCAAGGAUAUUUUGUUCUUUUAUGAUGAUAUUUUGUUAUUUCAGGAUAAUAGGUGGAGCUCCUGGAGGCAUGCAAAAUAUAUGGCUAACUGUAGAAAUUAAUUGCAGUAGUAGCAGCUUUUGGUGGAACAUUUCGAGCU